GGUCCGUUGAAGACUGCAGGAGAGUGGUUGUUAACCAGAUUUUAACAUCUGAGCCAAAUAACCCGCCGAAGAAGUAAAUCUUUCAGGUGCAUUAUUCUUAGCCAUAUAUUGGCAACGAAUAAGCGAGGACUGUAGUUGGAGGAACCUCUGGAGAGAACCGUUUAAUCGGUCGCCGAAGGAGCAAGCUCUGCGCAUAUGCAGAGUGAAACUCUCAGGCAAAAGGACAGAGGA
rnacentral:misc_RNA from 1 species